rnacentral:lncRNA from 1 species
GAAAAAGGUCCCAUCUGGAGACCUGCUUUGCAAUACUUUCCUCUUCUAACCACAUCACCUGACAGAAUCUAGAAGAUCCUGCUUUGGGUAGGUGAGACCUAAAUGCUUUUGUCACCUUCUUCUAUUCCAGUGAGGAGCUGAGUGAGAUCCAAGAAGAAAAUGCUUCCUUCGGUAUCCUGGGUAGGUGCUCCUCCAGAAGCAGGGGUUCUAGGAAGAGGUCAAGACAAAGAGUGGAGAGAAGGAUGCCCAUAGCCUUUCUCAGAGGGGCUUAGAUUUGGAUUCUAUCUCCCACAGCAUCAUCUGUGACUGCCUUGCUCUUGGUGUGUGAAGCGUCUUCUCUAGAAGAAACUAGUACAGCCAGGUCAUCGUCACUCCAUGUAAGAUGGUAAUUGCAGCAGUCAGUGCUCAGCUUGACGUUCUGACACAGGACUAAGUGGGCUGAGCUCAACAUGUGAUCUAGAAAACAAUCGAAAAGCUAACAUCAAGGACUGGGAGUUCUGCUGAGGAAAUGAGUUCCUGUCCCAGAACUCAUGCUUUGUUUUGUGAAGAUGGAAAAACAUCUGUACGGUGCUACACUCUGUGGGAAAACCAGCGCUCGGGAAAACGGGCACAGAGGGAUCCCUGGGGCUCACUGCUCAGCCAAACUAGCAUAUUUGGCAAACUUCAGGCCAGUAAGUGAGCCACCAACAAAAGGUAUGCAGAGAGCACUUAAAGAAGACCCCUGACAUGAGCACACAUGUGCUGCUUCAUCACACAUGUGUGUGCAAACACACGUAUACACUUUUAAAAAAAAUGAUGUCAAAAAACAAUUCCUAGGAAUUUGUCAAUGAUAGGUUUAGAAAUCAAAUAGAUAGCUUUCAUCCACGCAUAGUACCUACUAUUUCUCCUUGUAAAUCAAUAUUCCUCCCUGGCUCCCUGGCUCCCUGGCUCCCUGACUCCCUGGCCUCCUGGGUCCCUGGGUCCCUGGUUCCCUGGCUCCCUGGCUCCCUGGCUCCCUGGCUCCCUGGCUCCCUGGCUCCCUGGCUCCCUGGCUCCCUGCCUCCCUGCCUCCCUGCCUCCUUGCCUCCCUGCCUCCCUGCCUCCCUGCCUCCCUGCCUCCCUGGUUCCCUGCCUCUCUGCCUCCCUACAUUUUUUUCCUCCCUGCCUCUCAUGGAAGUAGCUUUCCACAAUUGCUCCACAUCUGUUGGGAGCCAACUCCUAGCAGAAAGCAGCUAUCAUCUCUGCAGCCAUCUCAGGCUAUUUACUUACAGGUGGUACUUUUCCACCCUGAUGAGAGACUUGUUUUCCUAGCAUGAUGUUUUUGAAAGAAGCCCACCACAGCUGAAAAUACUCUGAUAACAUCUUGUUUUUCUCCUAUACACCCUGGACUGUGGUUAAGUGUCUCCAACUGCACUCCCCAGCUUGUGCUUAUAUACUCAUAGUUGCCUUCCAAUAAAUGAGACUCAAGACUUGAGACUUGAUCACAUAGCCUGUCUUGUCUCCAUUCUUCACGUCUCUUGUCCCUCCAUCCUCAUUCUUUCUCUUGCAGACCCUGUUGACUGACCCACGGACCAGGUCACACAUCCCCAGUGAAUAGACACCCUUUACCUUCCCUAUCUAGGAAGGAAUCUUUUCACUAAUGGCUUUUUAGUUUGACUAUCUAGGAUGACUCUCGUGUCCUCUCAGAAAUCCCUGCAAAAGCUUUCUGUUAAUGAAAAUAUUGUGUGAGUAUACACACAGGUGCAUGCUAGGAUUAUGACCAUCCUAAGAGAGAUGGGAAAGGGGCGGGAUGGAGGGAGGAUUCUACUAUAUACCUGUAUACCA